rnacentral:sRNA from 1 species
CUUGGUCAUUUAGAGGAAGUAAAAGUCGUAACAAGGUUUCCGUAGGUGAACCUGCGGAAGGAUCAUUAAUGAGCAAGCUUGGUUGGGUUGUCGCUGGCUCUCCGGGGCAUGUGCACGCCUAAACACCAGUCUUUCUUUAACCACCUGUGCACCUUUUUGUAGAUUUGGAUACCUCUCGAGGAACCCUCGGUUUGAGGACUGCUGUGCGACAAGCUAGCUUUCCUUGCAUUUGCAGUCUAUGUUUUUAUAAUAUACCCCUCUACAGUAUGUCUCAGAAUGCUAUUAAUUGGCUUUAAAUGCCUUUAAACUUAUACAACUUUCAACAACGGAUCUCUUGGCUCUCGCAUCGAUGAAGAACGCAGCGAAAUGCGAUAAGUAAUGUGAAUUGCAGAAUUCAGUGAAUCAUCGAAUCUUUGAACGCACCUUGCGCUCCUUGGUAUUCCGAGGAGCAUGCCUGUUUGAGUGUCAUGAAAUUCUCAACCUUUUCAACCUUUUUGGUGGAUUAGGAUUGGAUGUGGGAGCUUGCGGGCUUUUUCAGAAGUCGGCUCUCCUUAAAUGCAUUAGUGGGACCUUUGGUAGCCCUCAGCUUUGGUGUGAUAAUUAUCUAUGCCAUUUGCUCAAGCAGUAUACAAUGAGGUCUUGCUUCUAAUGGUUUCUCUUAGAGACACCUUCUGACAAUUUGACCUCAAAUCAGGUAGGACUACCCGCUGAACUUAAGCAUAUCAAUAAGCGGAGGAAAAGAAACUAACAAGGAUUCCCCUAGUAACUGCGAGUGAAGCGGGAAAAGCUCAAAUUUAAAAUCUGAGGGUCCCUGUGGCCUUCCGAGUUGUAAUCUAGAGAAGUGUUAUCCGCGCUGGACCGUGUACAAGUCUCCUGGAACGGAGCAUCAUAGAGGGUGAGAAUCCCGUCUUUGACAUGGACUACCAGGGCUUUGUGAUGCGCUCUCAAAGAGUCGAGUUGUUUGGGAAU